rnacentral:rRNA from 1 species
CAGUCGCCGCGGUAAUACGAAGGGUGCAAGCGUUAAUCGGAAUUACUGGGCGUAAAGCGUGCGUAGGCGGUUUGUUAAGUCUGCUGUGAAAUCCCCGGGCUCAACCUGGGAAUGGCAGUGGAUACUGGCAAGCUAGAGUGUGUCAGAGGAUGGUGGAAUUCCCGGUGUAGCGGUGAAAUGCGUAGAGAUCGGGAGGAACGUCAGUGGCGAAGGCGGCCAUCUGGGACAACACUGACGCUGAGGCACGAAAGCGUGGGGAGCAAACAGGAUUAGAUACCCGCGUAGUCCCUGUCUCUUAUAC